UUGGGCAAUGGACGAGAGUCUGACCCAGCCAUGCCGCGUGCAGGAAGACGGCCUAUUGGGUUGUAAACUGCUUUUAUCUGGGAAGAAAAGGCCCAUGCGUGGGACAUUGCCGGUACCAGAUGAAUAAGCACCGGCUAACUCCGUGCCAGCAGCCGCGGUAAUACGGAGGGUGCAGGCGUUGUCCGGAUUUAUUGGGUUUAAAGGGUGCGUAGGCGGCCAAUUAAGUCAGUGGUGAAAGACUUCGGCUCAACCGGAGCAGUGCCAUUGAUACUGGUUGGCUUGAGUGCUGCAGGGGUACAUGGAAUUGAUGGUGUAGCGGUGAAAUGCAUAGAUACCAUCAGGAACACCGAUAGCGAAGGCAUUGUACUGGGCAGCAACUGACGCUGAUGCACGAAAGCAUGGGUAGCGAACAGGAUUAGAUACCCUGGUAGUCCAUGCCGUAAACGAUGAUUACUCGCUGUUAUGCCUAUAUGGUGUAGCGGCCAAGCGAAAGCGUUAAGUAAUCCACCUGGGGA
rnacentral:rRNA from 1 species